UUGGGGCGUACGUGCGUUUCGUUGGUGUUGGGGUAGGUUGUUGGCAAACGGAGUGCUGUGAUGCAUGGGGGUUGCACUAACAUGGAGUCCGACUCGAACUGGAACACAAUUUUUGGAAAUGUAAUCCCCCAUUUUGGGAAGAUUGUUUAUGCUGGUAGGGUUUCAGAUGAUCUACGCGAUUUGGGGGAAGUUGUAAGGGGUUUUUGAAUUUCAAAAUUUUGAUUUACGUUCCACGUUUCGUAUAUUAGGGUUUUGGGUGUGCUUCUUUGUGAAUCGUAUAAUUGAUUGUGAGUUUGUGUAUUGUAUGUGUGUAUGAGUGUUUCAAAGCAGACUGAACGAACUAACAUCCUAAUCCCACAGUUUUGUGCUGAUGACAGGAAAUUAGGUUGGAUCAAUGGGAAGCCCAUAGACGAGGUCUUGUGACCGGAAAUGCCAAGAAUCUCUGGGGGGUAACCAGAUAAGUAAAGUUGGUAUGAAUAUGGAAGGACGGAGGCUGUUCAAGCAGCCGAGGAGUGCGAAACGUGGGAGUGGGUCAAACAGAAGGCCGAAAAUGAGGGUUAAUUUUUGGUCUAACAUUGCUAGCAUAGUGAAGACGGUGUUUGCAAUCAAGUUAAAGGAUAAUCACCUGUUUCAUCUGAGGAAGACACCAUUUCGGCUGUUGUUCAAAUCUAUUUUGAAGAACCAGCCAGACUAUACUGGAUUCCGUAAAGGGACGAUUUGGUGAUGGGUAUAAUAUGAACAUACAGUGUGCGCGACGGGUGUUUCCGCAUUGGCGGCCGUGUUGUUGACCUAACUGAUAAUGAUGUACGUUUGAUUUUUGGGAUUCAAUGUGACAAUGCAUUCCUCAAUAUGACACCUCGGCCAAGGCAGCCAUCGGAUUUCAUUCAAUGUAGGUGUCCUGGGACAACUCACAUUACCCUGAAGGUUGUCCGAGAUUUAUUAGUUACAGCAGAACAGCACGUGACGAAGAAGACACAGUGAAACUGUUAUGUCUUUACACUAGUGGAAAGUUAUUUUUCUCCAGAUCUGGCGAAACAAUUAGUUGGGCUCUCAUUCAUUAUAUUGAUAACUUGGAUGUGAUGAAAACGUACGACUGGACCAGUGCAAUACGUAAUACAUUGAUGGUUUUUGUUCGUGACUUCCACAGCACACCCGAAAAAGUGACCGGUUGCAUAGCCACUUUGUUGGUAAUGUUUACAUUGUAGUUAUGUUUUUGUGUUUUGUUGUACGUAGUGGGCGAGUGUGUACGUUGGUAGUGUUGUGUCUACGCGUGUGCGUUUUACUAACAUGGACUAACUUUUUAUGUAGUAUUGGUUGUGUGAGCACUUAAUGAUGGUGAACACCAAUCAUCCUCACAUGUUUCCGAGAUUCUUGAAGUGAAAUGUGACCAAGGUGUUGAGAGUUG